AAGUAAAAGAAGAGGGGUAUUUAUAACUAAGGAAUUAGGGUUUAGGGGUAGGGUGGCUCCAUCUUGACCAUCCAUGUGCCUUGAGUGUUGGGAGAAUUGUGGCCAUCCAUGUGUCCUUUACUUGCCAACCCUUUUUCUUUUUCUUCUUUUCUUUUCAUUUUCUUCUUUUUCUUGCAUUUUCUCUUCUUUCUUUAUUUAUCUACAAUUUCCUGAAAUAAAAUAAAUAAGCGAUUAAUACUACGAAAAUAAACAAAAAAUAGGCACUUAAAUAUGCAAA
rnacentral:lncRNA from 1 species